AUGUCUAGGGAUUCACCGAGAGCGACAACAACCACCAUUGGCCUUCGUGGACUCCAUUGCUGCCCCAGUUUCGUUACCGGGUUUGCUUUGGCACAUAGAGUGCUUACAGAUCAAGCCCUCUACUUGGCUGCUUUGAGACAACGGCAUGUU